UACGAAGGGGGCUAGCGUUGCUCGGAAUUACUGGGCGUAAAGGGCGCGUAGGCGGAUAGUUUAGUCAGACGUGAAAUCCCUCGGCUCAACCGGGGAACUGCGUCUGAUACUGGGUGGCUUGAAUCCGGGAGAGGGAUGCGGAAUUCCAGGUGUAGCGGUGAAAUGCGUAGAUAUCUGGAGGAACACCGGUGGCGAAGGCGGCAUCCUGGACCGGCAUUGACGCUGAGGCGCGAAAGCCAGGGGAGCAAACGGG
rnacentral:rRNA from 1 species